GAUGAACGCUGGCGGCGUGCCUAAUACAUGCAAGUCGAGCGAACGGACGAGAAGCUUGCUUCUCUGAUGUUAGCGGCGGACGGGUGAGUAACACGUGGAUAACCUACCUAUAAGACUGGGAUAACUUCGGGAAACCGGAGCUAAUACCGGAUGAUAUUUUGAACCGCAUGGUUCAAAAGUGAAAGACGGUUUUGCUGUCACUUAUAGAUGGAUCCGCGCUGCAUUAGCUAGUUGGUAAGGUAACGGCUUACCAAGGCAACGAUGCAUAGCCGACCUGAGAGGGUGAUCGGCCACACUGGAACUGAGACACGGUCCCGGCUCCUACGGGAGGCAGCAGUAGGGAAUCUUCCGCAAUGGGCGAAAGCCUGACGGAGCAACGCCGCGUGAGUGAUGAAGGUCUUCGGAUCGUAAAACUCUGUUAUUAGGGAAGAACAUAUGUGUAAGUAACUGUGCACAUCUUGACGGUACCUAAUCAGAAAGCCACGGCUAACUACGUG
rnacentral:rRNA from 1 species